AUUGAACGCUGGCGGCAGGCUUAACACAUGCAAGUCGAGCGGAGAUGAGGUGCUUGCACCUUAUCUUAGCGGCGGACGGGUGAGUAAUGCUUAGGAGUCUGCCUAUUAGUGGGGGACAACAUUCCGAAAGGAAUGCUAAUACCGCAUACGUCCUACGGGAGAAAGCAGGGGAUCUUCGGACCUUGCGCUAAUAGAUGAGCCUAAGUCGGAUUAGCUAGUUGGUGGGGUAAAGGCCUACCAAGGCGACGAUCUGUAGCGGGUCUGAGAGGAUGAUCCGCCACACUGGGACUGAGACACGGCCCAGACUCCGACGGGAGGCAGCAGUGGGGAAUAUUGGACAAUGGGGGGAACCCUGAUCCAGCCAUGCCGCGUGUGUGAAGAAGGCCUUUUGGUUGUAAAGCACUUUAAGCGAGGAGGAGGCUACCUGGAUUAAUACUCUAGGAUAGUGGACGUUACUCGCAGAAUAAGCACCGGCUAACUCUGUGCCAGCAGCCGCGGUAACAC
rnacentral:rRNA from 1 species